GCCGCUGUAGCUCAGUUGGUAGAGCGCCCGCCUUGUAAGCGGAUGGUCAGGGGUUCGAGUCCCCUCAGCGGCUCCA
rnacentral:tRNA from 1 species